GGCGGGCGCCGGCGGGCGCCAUUAACGCGGAUGAAGGGAGCGACGGGCCUUGAGAGAGGCCGAUCGCUGCGGAGGGCGGGCAGGAUAACUCACCCCCCGCCCUCCUCCCCUUUCAGGCGGGAGAUCUGUGGAGAAAGCUCUGCUGCAGCCUCGUUGUAGCAAACAUCCCUCUUUACCAGCGUACAACGCGUGGCUACCCUCUUCUGCUGUUGUGGCUGUGUUUUCUCAUCUCCUCACUGGUGCCUGCCAGCAGCUGGAUACGCAGAAGACGACGGACACUUGGGCUCUUUCCCAUAAGCCAAGGCCCCCUAUAGAAGACCAGUAAGAGAGUCCAGUACUGCUCACUGGUAACACACAGAACAGUGGGCCAGCACUGACAUUAUUGGAGUCAUACAAUGGCUUGAGUUGAAAGGCACCCUAAAGAUCGUCCAGUUCCAAUCUACCUGCCAUGGGAACUGGAUCACACAGUACUACAAUAACAAGCACUGGCAGGCUGCCCAGCAUCACUGUACUCUGGUUGCAAGUGAACUAUGAGGCUCAAGCAAUCUUCUGGGAAAAGUUCACACCAAAUGUAUUGUAUCUUGCGUUUUCCUCUCUCAAACCAGUCUAUUAUAUUCCAUCCUCGUUGCAAUAUGGGUUUCCUCAAGAUUUCCAGGAACUGCCCUUUUAAAAAACAAAUACUGAAUCAUCAAACAGAUCUAGCUUAGAAAAGAAGAAAGACAAAAUAGUAAUCCUUACAGAGACAGCCCUCAGAAUAAAACAAGAGCACAAUUCACUAAAAGGUAGGAUUUUCUGUGGUUGGGACUGUAUGUGUUUCUUUUGUUUGUUUUUUGUUUCUCAGAUCAAACUGAAGUGAGAGAGAAGUGUGUUAUUAAAACACUGUAAUUGUUGUACAGUGUACAUCCUCAAUGAAGUUGAAGCCAAAGCAGAACAGAGUUUACAAGACUAGGGGAGUGAAAGAAAAAAAUGUUCUUAAGAGCACAUUUCUGUGUUUGACCUGAACUUUCCUGAUGGGUUUUCCAUGAUAGUCCUGGUCACCACAAAGAUGGCAGCUAUAACUCUCACUGUAAAUGUAACAGAUAGACAGAUUUUAUUAGAAGUACUUGAAGAAUGAAAAGUCACUCAUUCUGUGCUGAAGGAAGUAAUAAGAGGCAUUAAUUAAUUUCUUAGUAUUUAUCACUGUUGCUUUCACAGAGUCAUAAAAGGACAAAUGUUCACAGUUCACUAUAACUAUGAACACACAGGCUGUAAUUUAUCCAAGAAAUCAGGCCAUGGACAGUCAGUUGGAAACUGGGUAACAAAAGCCACCCAUCUAUAGUUGUCCAGCCCAAAUAUGUGUUGCCCAUUGUCCUGCAAAUACAGAUAUGGUCAAUUUAUAAUUUAUUCUUGUAUUUAUGGAUCAAUUUUAUUGUAUUAUUGGCUAGAGGCCUUUGCUAAGCUCUGUAUUGCAAUGGGUGAGGUGUUUGAGUUUCUGUCUCAGGAGGCUUGGGAGGUUAACUUAGGGUCAUUUUGCAGAUGUGAUGACUGUGUACAGAAAGCAAACUCACAGCAAACACGAAACAGUUCAUUCAGCAUUAAUUUGUGGUGGUAUUGAGUACCUGUAAUUCCCAGAAUCAUCAGUAGGAAUUUUGGGUGUUCAGCACUUUUGAAAGCCAGACUGAAGUUCCUUGCUAUGCUUCUGACAAAAGGUCUUUAGAAAGUAGAGACAGAAAAGACUUAUUAGGUUAUCAGGCCAAAUUUAUCCCAGAAGAAAACCCAUUGAAGUCAAUGGAAUGUCAUUAGGGAUGGAUUUACCAUAGAAAGAUUGUUCCCCACAGUAUAUUUAGAAGUGCUUUGUCCUAUACAGUUCAAAUUAGCUCUACAUUAGUCAAGGUACUGUACUGUUGCUUCAAUCAGCUACCCUUGUAGAGAUUUGUCUCUAACUAUCCUUGUCCAUGCUUUCCCUCCCAUCCUUAUCCCUUGCUAGCUCCUUCUCAUCCUCUCAUUAUUUUAUGUCUAAUUUCACUAAUGAAUUUCUCAGAGCCGCCUUUUGUGUUUGAGAAGGACCUAGCCUAUAGUAAGGUUAAAAGAACCAACACUAAAGAAACCACUGCCCCCCCCCCCCCCAAUCCAGCAAACAAACAAGGAAGACCAAAACAAAAAACAAAUCCCAGAACACAUCCAAACCCCCACCCAAAACAACAGCCCAGAACAAAACAAGACCAGGAAGAAAGAAUGAACUCUUACAGAGGAAGGCAAAGGUGUUUAUGAAUCCUUCAGCUUUCCUUUGUCACUCCAUCAACCCAUCUGUAGGUAGCCUGCAGUUUUUAACCACAUAUUCUGCAUUAAGAUGGGUAUAGUUACUUCAGUCUUGACUUUCUAAUUCCAUCACUGAUUCAAUGCAUUGCUAGAGCAAGUGGCUUCAAUUUUUAAACCUCUGCAUUACCAGUUCUGCAACAGUCAUGGUCAUGCACAUGAAAAGAAUUUCUCAAGUUGCUUCACAGAAAUCAGGAUAGCAUUUUAAGUUCCAUAGCAGAAAAGCACAGUAAUACAAGAAAUAGGACUGCUGCCAUCAGUACUGUUGUCUUUCUUUUCCCCCUCAAUCAUUCUAACACAAACAUGCAUAUUUUCUCUGCAUCUUGACCCAUUUUUGUUUUGCUUUCUCUAAUGAAAGGUCUAACAAGAUGAUAAGGAAAUUCAUAGUCUCUCUAUGCUUUAAGUCAUAUCAUUUCAAUGAAAGCAACUGUGUCUAUAAUGACAGUAGAAACUGUAGCUUCAGUGCUGUCUUCUGCCAAAGAAAAAAGUGUCCACAAUUAAAAAACAAACUCUAAAACCACAGUGGACAAGUUACUAAAUCCCAUCUAGCUGUGUGUAUUCAUUUCUGAGUCACUGUAUCAUUUGACUAUGCAAGAAGCAAGAUAAUUUAUGUGAGGAAUGUUGUGAAGACCAAAAUAUAAUUAAAAAUAGCCAUGUUUUCA